rnacentral:tRNA from 1 species
GCGCCCGUAGCUCAUCCGGAUCAGAGCACCGGCCUUCUAAGCCGGGGGUAACAGGUUCGAGUCCUGUCGGGCGCGCCA